rnacentral:rRNA from 1 species
AGGGCAUACGGCGGAUGCCUAGGCGCCAUCAGCCGAUGAAGGACGCGGUAAGCUGCGAAAAGCUACGGGGAACUGCAAGCAAGUAUUGAUCCGUAGAUGUCCGAAUGGGGAAACCCACCUGCCGUCAUGGGCAGGUAUCCGAAAGGAAGGGAACCCGGGGAACUGAAACAUCUAAGUACCCGGAGGAAGAGAAAUCAAACGAGAUGCCCACAGUAGCGGCGAGCGAAGAGGGCAGAGGGCAAACCGGGGAGCUACGGCUCUCCGGGGUUGAGGACUGCAUUUAGUCUUAAUGGUCUAUCCGAACUACCUGGAAAGGUAGGCAACACAGUGUAAAAGCCACGUAGGUUAAAGGCCAGAGAGAUGAGCAGUAUCCAGAGUACCACGAGGCACGAGGAAUCUUGUGGGAAGCCGGGGGGACCACCCUCCAACCCUAAACACUGAAUGGCGACCGAUAGCGCAUAGUACCGUGAGGGAAAGGUGAAAAGAACCCCGGGAGGGGAGUGAAAGAGAACCUGAAACCGUAUGUCUACAAGCAGUCGGAGCGAAAGCGACGGCGUGCCUAUUGAAGAAUGAACCAACGAGUUACGUGCACUAGCGAGGUUAAGUGGAAGACACGGAGCCGAAGCGAAAGCGAGUCUUAAGAGGGCGGAUAGUUAGUGUACGUAGACCCGAAACCGCAGUGAUCUACCCAUGUCCAGGUUGAAGCGCAGGUAAAAUUGCGUGGAGGACCGAACCUGUGAGCGUUGAAAAGCUUUAGGAUGAGAUGUGGGUAGAGGUGAAAUUCCAAUCGAACGCGGAGAUAGCUGGUUCUCCCCGAAAUAGCUUUAGGGCUAGCCUCAAGUAGUAAGUAUAGGCGGUAGAGCACUGAUCGGGCUAGGGGCCAUAAAGGUUACCGAACCCUGUCAAACUCCGAAUGGUUAUACUGUAGAGCUUGGGAGUCAGACUACGAGUGAUAAGAUCCGUGGUCAAAAGGGAAACAGCCCAGACCACCAGCUAAGGUCCCCAAUGUCGUACUAAGUGGAAAAGGAUGUGGGGUCUCUAAAACAACCAGGAUGUUGGCUUAGAAGCAGCCACCAUUUAAAGAGUGCGUAAUAGCUCACUGGUCGAGAGACCCUGCGCCGAAGAUUACCGGGGCUAAAGUACGAAACCGAAGCUGUGGCUACGACGUAAGUCGUGGGGUAGGGGAGCGUUCUGUGAGGGCUGAAGUCGUUCUGUAAGGAACGGUGGACUUCACAGAAGUGAGAAUGUUGGUAUGAGUAGCGAAAAGAAUGGUGAGAAUCCAUUCCACCGAAAGCAUAAGGAUUCCUGGGCAACGAUCGUCGUCCCAGGGUAAGUCGGGACCUAAUCCGAGGCAUGGAGCGUAGGAGAUGGACAACUGGCAGAUAUUCCAGUACCGGUAAUGAUUGUUUGAGCGAUGGAGUGACACAGGAGGGCAGGCAGGCAGGAGAUUGGUUGUUCCUGUACAAGCGUGUAGGAUGGGACGUAGGCAAAUCCGCGUCCUGUGAGUCUGAGGCGUGAUGUGGAGGUUCCGGAAACGGAGCUGAAGCUGCUGACCCCACACUGUCGAGAAAAGCUUCUAGUUAGAGAAUUACCGCCCGUACCGUAAACCGACACAGGUAUGCGGGGAGAGAAUCCUAAGGUGCGCGGGAGAACCCUCGUUAAGGAACUCGGCAAAAUGUACCCGUAACUUCGGGAUAAGGGUAGCCGCUGUUGUGAAGUCUGCACAGACGGAGCAUGAGGCGGUCGCAGAGAAGAGGCCCAAGCGACUGUUUACCACAAACACAGGUGCCUGCUAAAGAGAAAUCUGACGUAUAGGUGCUGACACCUGCCCAGUGCCGGAAGGUUAAGGAAGGAUGUCCGGAGCAAUCCAAAGCAUUCGACCGAAGCCCCGGUGAACGGCGGCCGUAACUAUAACGGUCCUAAGGUAGCGAAAUUCCUUGUCGGGUAAGUUCCGACCCGCACGAAAGGUGUAACGAUUUGGGCACUGUCUCAACGAGGGACCCGGUGAAAUUGAAGUACCUGUGAAGAUGCAGGUUACCCGCGACUGGACAGAAAGACCCCAUGGAGCUUUACUGUAACCUGACAUUGGGUUCUGAUACAUCACGUACAGGAUAGGUGGGAGGCAUGGAAGCGAGGACGCUAGUCUUCGUGGAGCCGCCGUUGGGAUACCACCCUUGAUGUAUCGGAAUUCUAACCGUAGGAGUAACGAAACUCGGGACAGUGUCAGGCGGGCAGUUUGACUGGGGCGGUCGCCUCCCAAAGAGUA